GGAUCACUUGAGCCCAGGAGUUUGAGUCCAGCUUGGGCAACAUAGUGAGAACCCCAUCUCUAAAAAAUAAAAUAAUAAAAUAAUAAGCGAGCUCUCUCACGUGCAUUUUCCCACUCUGCCAACUUCUUUCUACCUUUCCACCAGGGGAUGACCCUAGCCAGGUCCCAGCACCACGCUCUUGGACUUCCUAGCCUCCAGAACUAAGAAUGAAAGCCACUCAUGCAUAUUUCUGGAUCAAUUUAAAACUCAUCAGGAAGACUCUCAGACUCUACUUAGGAAACCACCAAUUUGAAGCCAAUGAAUGGGAUCUUGGAACAAUGGAUGAAAAGCCAGCAAAGAAAAGAGACAUACCUCCUGCUACGGCUGGGAACCAAACAGAAUAACCCUGAAAGGCUGCCUUUUGUGGAGGAGACUUGUAUCUGUAGAGAAAAUCUACACUGGUGAAAUAAACAACCAGGCUUUCUUGGAGGCACCCCCUUAUCUGUACCUAGGAAAUUAUUAACUGAAAGUCUGACACCUAUGAAGGUCUGACAGAGCAACUUAACACAGGCUCAUGCCUAUUCUUUCUAGGAGCUGCUAUCUAUGAAGUUUCAUCUGCAUAACCAGACCAUCUUUGCCCCAGCCCCUUCUUUCUUUCUCCCUCCCAUAACCAUGUUCCAAGCCCCUAUUCUGCUGUAACCUCAAAAUGGCAUAAAAGCAUCAAGCAUCUGGCCCUUUCUCUCAGUUUUCAUAUUUUGUAUGACUCCCAU
rnacentral:lncRNA from 1 species